rnacentral:rRNA from 1 species
CCUACGGGUGGCAGCAGUGAGGAAUAUUGGUCAAUGGUCGAGAGACUGAACCAGCCAAGCCGCGUGAGGGAUGAAGGUACAGAGUAUCGUAAACCUCUUUUGUCGGGGAGCAAAGGCGGGGACGUGUCCCCGCACGAGUGUACCUGAAGAAAAAGCAUCGGCUAACUCCGUGCCAGCGGCCGCGGUAAUACGGAGGAUGGGAGCGUUAUCCGGAUUUAUUGGGUUUAAAGGGUGCGCAGGCGGAGGGGAAAGUCAGCGGUAAAAUCGGGGGGCUCAACCUCGGCCCGCCGUUGAAACUGCGUGUCUCGAGUGGGCGAGAAGUACGCGGAAUGCGCGGUGUAGCGGUGAAAUGCAUAGAUAUCGCGCAGAACUCCGAUUGCGAAGGCAGCGUGCCGGCGCCAAACUGACGCUGAGGCACGAAAGCGUGGGUAUCGAACAGGAUUAGAUACCCGAGUAGUC